rnacentral:rRNA from 1 species
AAGCGAAGCAGUGAUGUGAAGCAAAUCGCACCAAAGCCAGUCCCAGUUCGGAUAAGAGGCUGAAACUCGCCUCUUUGAAGUCGGAAUCGCUAGUAAUCGCAGAUCAGCAUGUUGCGGUGAAUACGUUCCCGGGUCUUGUACACACCGCCCGUCAAACCAUGAGAGUCACCAACACCCGAAGUCCGCCUUGGCGGCCUAAGGUGGGGGAGAUGAUUGGGGUUAAGUCGUAACAAGGUAUC